ACAUGCAGACAUACAGAGAGACAGAGACACACAGAGGGAGAGUAAAGUUUCACAGAACACACUUUUCUCCUUCUACAAUGAUUUAUUAUAUCUCUUCAUUUCCUAUGUUUUCUUGCUGAAUGUAUGACAUCCAUUUUAAUUUAUUAUUAUUUUUUUUUUUAGAGACAGAGUCUCACUCUUCACUCGGGCUGCAGUGCAGUGGAGCAAUAGUUGCUCACUGUAACCUCAAACUCCUGGGCCUAAGCAAUCCUCUGGCCUCAGCUUCCUGAAUGACUAGGACCACAGGUGAGAGCCACCUCAUCCAGGUAAUCUUUAAAUUAUUUUUCAUGUAAGGAUGGGAUUUUGCUAUGUUGCCCAAGCUGAUCGUGAAUUCUUGUCCUCAAGUGAUCCUCCACCCUAGCCUCCCAAAGCCUAAGGAUACAGACCUGAGCCAUCAAACCCAGGUGAUGCAUAUCUUUAAAGGUCCUUGAAAUUGCAAGCUUACAUUACUGAUUUAAGACUUUGCUUCUUUUCUAAUGUAUGCAUCUAGAGCUGUACAUUUCCCUCUCAGCA
rnacentral:lncRNA from 10 species